rnacentral:rRNA from 1 species
UACGGGGGGGGCAAGCGUUGUUCGGAAUUACUGGGCGUAAAGGGCUCGUAGGCGGCCAACUAAGUCAGACGUGAAAUCCCUCAGCUUAACUGGGGAACUGCGUCUGAUACUGGAUGGCUUGGAUUCGGGAGAGGAAUGCGGAAUUCCAGGUGUAGCGGUGAAAUGCGUAGAUAUCUGGAGGAACACCGGUGGUGUAGACGGCUUUCUGGACCGUAACUGACGCUGAGACACGAAAGCGUGGGUAGCAAACAGG